rnacentral:rRNA from 1 species
UAGGCUUAACACAUGCAAGUCGAACGGCAGCACAAGGGAGCUUGCUCCCUGGGUGGCGAGUAGCGGACGGGUGAGGAAUACAUCGGAAUCUACCCUGUCGUGGGGGAUAACCUCGGGAAACCGGGACUAAUACCGCAUACGACCUUCGGGUGAAAGUAGGGGAUCGCAAGACCUUACGCGAUUGGAUGAGCCGAUGUCGGAUUAGCUUGUUGGUGAGGUAAAGGCUCACCAAGGCGACGAUCCGUAGCUGGUCUGAGAGGAUGAUCAGCCACACUGGAACUGAGACACGGCCCAGACUCCUACGGGAGGCAGCAGUGGGGAAUUUUGGACAAUGGGCGCAAGCCUGAUCCAGCCAUGCCGCGUGCAGGAUGAAGGCCUUCGGGUUGUAAACUGCUUUUGUACGGAACGAAAAGUCUCUUUCUAAUAAAGAGGGAUCAUGACGGUACCGUAAGAAUAAGCACC